rnacentral:lncRNA from 1 species
GUCUCUCUCAUCUCUUACCUUUAGAGACCAAACAUGAACCCUAAUCAGCCGCCACCCAAUACUCACCGUUUCUGGUGGCGGCGGCGCCUCCAUUCACCCCAAAUUCACACCACCUCUUCUAUUUCCUCUCCUCAUUCCAUAUCUAACUUUGAUUUUCUUCAAAUCAAACCGAGGCCUCUCGAAUAUUGAUUCAAAGAUCAUGCUGAGAAUACAAAUCAUCCAAACGAGCCCAAAUUGCCACCAUAGGAUCUACCCAUCGUCCUCACCUCAGAUCCAUGGCUAUUCUGCUUCAAAUUUCAAUGGUUCGCCCUCACGUCCCCAUCUAGGGUUUUUCAGUCAGCCUCGUCUGGAAUUUUUCUCUUAGGAUAAGUUUUCCUCUAGUUUUAUGACUUUAUUAGUAUACUUAAUAAUCUCUUCUUCCACUACUCCUCUGUUAAUUGGGUCGUAGAGGGAUUUUAGUUGUGAGUUCGUUUCUUUAAUCUUUUGUUUAUUUUCUUGUUCAUCUAGUUUCUUAGCAGUGGGUUCAGGAAAUUGCUGUUUGCACAAUUCAAUUCUCUUCGAUUUGUUUCAAUGAUUAAUUCCGUUUAGUUAGUAUAAUUUGACUCGAUUAGGUUUUGUUCGUUUUAAUUUCAAGCUUCAUUUCGAAUUCAGCAAUGAUUGAUUCUGUAGGAAUUUAUAAGUAAUUUGGUUUCCUUCUUUAAGUUUGAUCAAGUAAUUCUAGGUUUCAGUUUAAAUGUGCUUGUGGUUUCUGCCUUGAAUUUUGUCAAAUUUUUAAUUGAAUUAAAUGGUUUCAGUUUAAAUGUGCUUGUGGUUUCUACCUUGAAUUUUGUCAUAUUUUUUAUUGAAUUAAAAUAGUAUUCUUCUAGUUUUGGGCUUUAAUUCAGUUUUUAGUAAAUGAGGUUUGGGAGUUGUUUGGGAAUUGGUUUCAAUUAUGUUAAUCUUAGUGUUAUUAAAGAAUUUGUUUGGGUAUAGCUGAGAGUUCACUCUUUAGUUAAAUGUAGUCAAGUUUAACAAGGGUAAAUUGGACAAAGGGCAAAGGGGAAAGGGCUGCAGUAAUUUUAAGAGGUUUCAGGGAUAGUUUGGGCAUGAGAAAAGGGUAGAAUCUCUUAAAAUAGUAAAUUUAAAACAGGGGUAACGGUAGUAUAGACUUUGUAUAUCUAAAAGAACCUUCUAAAACAUUCCUAAUGGGGCUUUAGUGUACGUUUUAACAAUUUUGGUAGUAGUUACUUGUGAAACAAGUCCGAAAAUUAGGGGUUAAAGUGAAAAUGAGUAGGGACUAAUAGUGCAAAUUGAAAUUUGGGGAGCUACCCUCAUUUGUGCCUAUAAAAGGGCAUUCCCUUUACUUCAUUCCCAAGUUUGGAGCCUCACAAAAUCCCCUGCCUUUCUCUCAAAGUUUCAGAGUUGAAAUGUAACAUCCAAACUUCUAAUCUUCAAAAAAAAAAAACAAAAAAAGUAGAAAACUUCAAAAACAUAAAAAUAGCACUGUUCAUUGAAAAUUUCGGUUUUAUUUCAAGUUUGGCAGUCAUAUGUACAAAAAGCUCAAAAAAAAUAUACAAAACUAUGAAAUUCAAAAAGAAGGUCACUGUUUCAUUAGAGUUUUAAGCUAAUUUUGAUACUAUAGCUCAUAAUUUCACUCUUUAGUUCUCUUGCUGCUUCGUUGAAAUUUCUAGGUUAUUCACAAUUGAUUUCAAGAAAUUUCUGGUUUCAUUUAGUUUGUUUGGGUGGUUUAUUUGUUGUUGCUGGGUUUUCAACUUCGUUUGAGUUUUGGUUAAGCAUAUUUUCUGGGUUAAACUUGAGUUGGCUGUUGAUUUGACUCUCACUAACUGCUGUUACACCCUCUGAUGUUGAUCCUCAAUUCCUUUUCUAUUAAUUGCAUUUCCAGGUACACUUCAUUAAACCUCCUUGAUGUAUCUUUGAAUUGAAGUUGAAAUGGAAGAGUUCAAUGGUUUAUGUUUAUCAUCUGAUACCUUUUAGCUAAGUAGAUGUUUAAGGAAGUAAAUGUAAUUAGUGUUAAUUCUAUUUUGUAUGUCAUAUGAGAGAUGAAUACUGGACUGUAUAAUUGGAACUGUUUGGACUAGUGUAAAGAUAUUGUCGCCAUGCCUUGGUCGAUUUGAGCGUCUGUUAACUUAAAUGAGUUUCUAUUGGCAUUUACAAGUUCUUGUUAAAACAUUAGGUUGUGAAUAAUUUUAUCCAAUUGCAG